UAUAAUAUAGUUUAAUUAAAAUAUAAAUUUGUGGUGUUUAAGAUAUGUAAAUUAUUAUAAUUA
rnacentral:tRNA from 1 species